UACGGAGGGUGCAAGCGUUGUCCGGAUUUAUUGGGUUUAAAGGGUGCGUAGGCGGCCCAUUAAGUCAGUGGUGAAAUACUGCAGCUUAACUGUAGCAUUGCCAUAGAUACUGAUGGGCUUGAGUGCAGAUGAGGUAGGCGGAAUUGAUGGUGUAGCGGUGAAAUGCAUAGAUACCAUCAAGAACACCGAUUGCGAAGGCAGCUUACUAAGCUGUAACUGACGCUGAGGCACGAAAGUGUGGGGAUCGAACAGG
rnacentral:rRNA from 1 species